GGGAAGAGCUCAAAUUUUGAAUCUGGCGGUCUUCUGGCCGUCCGAAUUGUAAUCUAGAGAAGUGUUUUCCGUGCUGGACCGUGUACAAGUCUCCUGGAAGGGAGCGUCAUAGAGGGUGAGAAUCCCGUCUUUGACACGGACUACCAGUGCUAUGUGAUGCACUCUCGACGAGUCGAGUUGUUUGGGAAUGCAGCUCAAAAUGGGUGGUAAAUUCCAUCUAAAGCUAAAUACAGGCGAGAGACCGAUAGCGAACAAGUACCGUGAGGGAAAGAUGAAAAGAACUUUGGAAAGAGAGUUAAACAGUACGUGAAAUUGCUGAAAGGGAAACGCUUGAUGUCAGUCACGUCGGUCAGGGAUCAACCUUGCUUCAUUGCUGGGUGCAUUUCCUGGUUCCGAUGGGUCAGCAUCAGUUUCAAGUUCAUCGUACAAUGGCAAAGGGAAUGUGGCACUCUUCGGGGUGUGUUAUAGCCUUUCGUCGUAUGCGGUGGUUGGGACUGAGGAACUCGGCACGACCUUCAGGUCUGUGUCUAGGAUGCUGGCAUAAUGGCCUUAAGCGACCCGUCUUGAAACACGGACCAAGGAGUCUAACAUGCCUGCGAGUGUUUGGGUGCUAAAACCCAGGCGCGCAAUGAAAGUGAAAGUCGAGACCUCUGUCAUGGAGGGCAUCGACGCCCGGACCUAAGUCUCUGACAAAGGAUCUGCGGUAGAGCAUGUAUGUUGGGACCCGAAAGAUGGUGAACUAUGCCUGAAUAGGGUGAAGCCAGAGGAAAC
rnacentral:rRNA from 1 species